rnacentral:rRNA from 1 species
GACGAACGCUGGCGGCGUGCCUAACACAUGCAAGUCGAACGAGAAUCAUUUGAACAGAGGCUUCGGCCGACGGGAUUUUGAGGAAAGUGGCGAACGGGUGAGUAACGCGUGAGAAACCUGCCUUUCAGUGGGGGACAACAGUUGGAAACGACUGCUAAUACCGCAUGAUGUAGCGAGGGGCAUCCUUGCUACCAAAGCUUUAUGUGCUGAAAGAUGGGCUCGCGUCUGAUUAGAUAGUUGGUGAGGUAACGGCCCACCAAGGCAACGAUCAGUAGCCGGACUGAGAGGUUGACCGGCCACAUUGGGACUGAGAUACGGCCCAGACUCCUACGGGAGGCAGCAGUGGGGAAUAGUUGGGCAAUGGGCGCAAGCCUGACCCAGCAACGCCGCGUGAAGGAGAAGGCUUUCGGGUUGUAAACUUCUUUGUCGAGGAAGAGUAGAAGACUGUACUCGG